UACGAAGGGGGCUAGCGUUGCUCGGAAUUACUGGGCGUAAAGGGAGCGUAGGCGGAUAGUUCAGUCAGAGGUGAAAGCCCCAGGGCUCAACCUUGGAAUUGCCUUUGAUAACUGGCUGUCUUGAGUAUGGGAGAGGUUAGCGGAACUCCGAGUGUAGAGGUGAAAUUCGAUAGAUAUUCGGAAGGAACACCAAUGGCGAAGGCGGCUAACUGGCCCAUUACUGACGCUGAGGCUCGAAAGCGUGGGGAGCAAACAGG
rnacentral:rRNA from 1 species